UACAGAGGUCUCAAGCGUUGCUCGGAAUCACUGGGCGUAAAGCGCACGUAGGCGGACUCUUAAGUCGGUGGUGAAAUCCUGGAGCUCAACUCCAGAACUGCCUUCGAUACUGGGAGUCUCGAGUUCGGGAGAGGUGAGUGGAACUGCGAGUGUAGAGGUGAAAUUCGUAGAUAUUCGCAAGAACACCAGUGGCGAAGGCGGCUCACUGGCCCGAUACUGACGCUGAGGUGCGAAAGACGUGGGGGAGCAAACAGG
rnacentral:rRNA from 1 species